rnacentral:tRNA from 1 species
AGGGUAAUAGCUCAGUGGUAGACUGCAUGCUUAGCAUGCAUGAGGUCCUGGGUUCAAUCCCCAGUACCUCCA